rnacentral:rRNA from 1 species
UGGGGAAUCUUCCGCAAUGGACGAAAGUCUGACGGAGCAACGCCGCGUGAGUGAAGAAGGUUUUCGGAUCGUAAAACUCUGUCUUUUGGGGCGAACGUGAGUAUGGCAAAUAAUCAUAGUCAGUGACGGUACCAAAGGAGGAAGCCACGGCUAACUACGUGCCAGCAGCCGCGGUAAUACGUAGGUGGCAAGCGUUGUCCGGAAUUAUUGGGCGUAAAAGAGCGCGUAGGCGGGAUAGUCAGUCUGUUGUAAAAGUGCGGGGCUCAACCCCGUGAUCGCAAUGGAAACAGCUAUUCUUGAGUGCAGGAGAGGAAAGUGGAAUUCCCAGUGUAGCGGUGAAAUGCGUAGAUAUUGGGAGGAACACCAGUGGCGAAGGCGACUUUCUGGACUGUGUCUGACGCUGAGGCGCGAAAAGCCAGGGGGAGCGAACGGGAUUAGAUACCCCCGGUAGUCCCUGGGCCGUAAAACGAUGGGUACUAGGUGUGGGGGGUAUCGACCCCUUCCGUGCCGGAGUUAACGCAAUAAGUACCCCCGCCU